rnacentral:rRNA from 1 species
ACCUACAGCCAUAUUGGCCUGAAGGCACCUGAUAUCAAAAGCUAAAAAGUCCCAGCCUGAUGAGUACUUAGAAGGGAGACCACCUGGGAAUCGUGAAUGCUGUAGGCA